rnacentral:rRNA from 1 species
UGGGGAAUAUUGCACAAUGGGGGAAACCCUGAUGCAGCGACGCCGCGUGAGUGAAGAAGUAUUUCGGUACGUAAAGCUCUAUCAGCAGGGAAGAAAAGGAACUAAAGUUCCCAUGACGGUACCUGACUAAGAAGCCCCGGCUAACUACGUGCCAGCAGCCGCGGUAAUACGUAGGGGGCAAGCGUUAUCCGGAUUUACUGGGUGUAAAGGGAGCGUAGACGGCAGCGCAAGUCUGGAGUGAAAUGCCGGGGCCCAACCCCGGAACUGCUUUGGAAACUGUGCAGCUUGAGUGCGGGAGAGGUAAGUGGAAUUCCUAGUGUAGCGGUGAAAUGCGUAGAUAUUAGGAGGAACACCAGUGGCGAAGGCGGCUUACUGGACCGUAACUGACGUUGAGGCUCGAAAGCGUGGGGAGCAAACAGG